rnacentral:rRNA from 1 species
UACGGAGGGUGCAAGCGUUGUUCGGAUUGAUUGGGCGUAAAGCGCAUGUAGGCGGGUUUGUAAGUCGGAUGUGAAAGCCCUGGGCUUAACCUGGGAACUGCAUCCGAAACUACAUAUCUUGAAUGCUCGAGGGGUUGGUGGAAUUCCUGGUGUAGGAGUGAAAUCCGUAGAUAUCAGGAGGAACACCGGAGGCGAAGGCGGCCAACUGGCGAUGCAUUGACGCUGAGGUGCGAAAGCGUGGGGAGCAAACAGG